rnacentral:rRNA from 1 species
CCUACGGGAGGCAGCAGUGAGGAAUAUUGGUCAAUGGACGCAAGCCUGAACCAGCCAUGCCGCGUGAAGGAAGACGGCCCUAUGAGUUGUAAACUGCUUUUGUACGAGGGCAAACGCCGAUACGCGUAUCUUUCCGAAAGUACCGUACGAAUAAGGAUCGGCUAACUCCGUGCCAGCAGCCGCGGUAAUACGGAGGAUUCAAGCGUUAUCCGGAUUUAUUGGGGUUAAAGGGUGCGUAGGCGGUCGGAUAAGUUAGCGGUGAAAUCCCGAGGCUCAACUUCGGAAUUGCCUUUGAUACUGGUCUGCUAGAGAGUAGGAGCGGUAGGCGGAAUGUAUGGUGUAGCGGUGAAAUGCAUAGAUAUCAUACAGAACACCGAUUGCGAAGGCAGCUUACCAGGCUACUUCUGACGUUGAGGCACGAAAGCGUGGGUAGCAAACAGGAUUAGAUACCCGUGUAGUC